rnacentral:rRNA from 1 species
AAAAACAUAGUUUGUUGUUUUAUUUAACAAAUCUAGCCUGCCCGGUGAUAAUUUUAACGGCCGCAGUACCCUGACUGUGCAAAGGUAGCAUAAUCAAUUGGCUUUUAAUUAAAGUCUAGUAUGAAAGGAUAAACGGAUAAUAACUGUCUCUUAUAUUUAUUUUUAAAUUACUUAAGUAGUGAAAAUUCUACUAAAAAUAAAAUAGACGAGAAGACCCUUAGAGUUACACGAAUAAUAAAAACUAUUUUAAAAUCGGAUUGUUGGGGCAACAAAAUUAAGCAAAUUAUAAAUCAAUUUACUUUAAAAUAUAUAAGACGACUAAAAUUGUAAGAAUAAUAAACUACCUUAGGGAUAACAGCAUAAUUUCUUAAAGAUUGUGACCUCGAUGUUGGAUUAGGAACUAGGAAGUUUAACCAACUUUAUAGACAGUUCUGUUCGAACUUAUAUUAACCUACGUGAUCUG